GGCUGGUCUGAAAGCAGUGGUUUAUCUCGCCUUCUCAGUAAGUUACGAUCCAAUUCCUUGUUCUACUCUUUCCUCGCUGCUCACUACUGCCCUUGUCAAGAAAA
rnacentral:Y_RNA from 1 species